rnacentral:rRNA from 1 species
CCUACGGGAGGCAGCAGUGGGGAAUAUUGGACAAUGGGGGGAACCCUGAUCCAGCCAUGCCGCGUGUGUGAAGAAGGCCCUCGGGUUGUAAAGCACUUUCAGUGAGGAAGAACGCCUGGUGGUUAAUACCCAUCAGGAAAGACAUCACUCACAGAAGAAGCACCGGCUAACUCCGUGCCAGCAGCCGCGGUAAUACGGAGGGUGCGAGCGUUAAUCGGAAUUACUGGGCGUAAAGCGCGCGUAGGUGGCUUGAUAAGCCGGUUGUGAAAGCCCCGGGCUCAACCUGGGAACGGCAUACGGAACUGUCAAGCUUGAGUGCAGGAGAGGAAGGUAGAAUUCCCGGUGUAGCGGUGAAAUGCGUAGAGAUCGGGAGGAAUACCAGUGGCGAAGGCGGCCUUCUGGACUGACACUGACACUGAGGUGCGAAAGCGUGGGUAGCAAACAGGAUUAGAUACCCCAGUAGUC